rnacentral:rRNA from 1 species
UACGGGGGGGGCAAGCGUUGUUCGGAAUUACUGGGCGUAAAGGGCUCGUAGGCGGCCAACUAAGUCAGACGUGAAAUCCCUCGGCUUAACCGGGGAACUGCGUCUGAUACUGGAUGGCUUGAGGUUGGGAGAGGGAUGCGGAAUUCCAGGUGUAGCGGUGAAAUGCGUAGAUAUCUGGAGGAACACCGGUGGCGAAGGCGGCAUCCUGGACCAAUUCUGACGCUGAGGAGCGAAAGUGUGGGGAGCGAACAGG